UACGAAGGGGGCUAGCGUUGCUCGGAAUCACUGGGCGUAAAGCGCACGUAGGCGGAUCUUUAAGUCAGGGGUGAAAUCCUGGAGCUCAACUCCAGAACUGCCUUUGAUACUGGGGAUCUCGAGUCCGGAAGAGGUGAGUGGAACUCCGAGUGUAGAGGUGAAAUUCGUAGAUAUUCGGAAGAACACCCGUGGCGCAAGCGGCCACCUGGCUGCCAACUGACGCUGAGGCACGAGAGCGUGGGGAGCGAACCGG
rnacentral:rRNA from 1 species